rnacentral:rRNA from 1 species
UGGGGAAUAUUGGACAAUGGGCGAAAGCCUGAUCCAGCCAUGCCGCGUGUGUGAAGAAGGUCUUCGGAUUGUAAAGCACUUUAAGUUGGGAGGAAGGGCAGUUACCUAAUACGUGAUUGUUUUGACGUUACCGACAGAAUAAGCACCGGCUAACUCUGUGCCAGCAGCCGCGGUAAUACAGAGGGUGCAAGCGUUAAUCGGAAUUACUGGGCGUAAAGCGCGCGUAGGUGGUUUGUUAAGUUGGAUGUGAAAUCCCCGGGCUCAACCUGGGAACUGCAUUCAAAACUGACUGACUAGAGUAUGGUAGAGGGUGGUGGAAUUUCCUGUGUAGCGGUGAAAUGCGUAGAUAUAGGAAGGAACACCAGUGGCGAAGGCGACCACCUGUACUAAUACUGACACUGAGGUGCGAAAGCGUGGGGAGCAAACA